rnacentral:rRNA from 1 species
UAGAAAUGCUAAAAUAGUAUUUAUUUAUUUAUUGAAACUUAAAUAUUUUGGCGGUAUUUUAGUUUAUUUAGAGGAAUCUGUUUAUUAAUUGAUAAUCCACGAAUAAAUUUACUUAAUUUAUUAUUUUGUAUAUCAUUGUUAAAAAAAUAUUUUUUAAUGAUAAUAAUAUUUUAAAAUUAUGAUAAAAAUUAAAUCAAAUCAAGAUGCAGAUUAUAAUUAAGAAUAUAAUGGAUUACAAUAAAUUUAUUUAUAUGGAUUUUAAUUUGUAAUAAUUAAAUAAAGGUGGAUUUAAAUGUAAUUUUAUUUAUUUUAAUGAAAUGUUUUUA